rnacentral:rRNA from 1 species
UAUCUCUGUAGAGUCUGCAUAUCAAUAAGCGGAGGAAAAGAAACUAACAAGGAUUCCCUUAGUAACGGCGAGUGAAGCGGGAAGAGCUCAAAUUUGAAAUCCUCAAGGUUUUACCUUGACGAAUUGUAGUUUAAAGAAGUGUUUUCUGUUGAAGUUUGAGUGCAAAGUUCUUUGGAAUAGGACAUCAUAGAGGGUGAGAAUCCCGUAUUUGACCAUUAUUUUCAGCUGUGUGAUACACUUUCAAAGAGUCGGAUUGUUUGGGAAUGCAGUCCAAAAUGGGUGGUAAAUUUCAUCUAAAGCUAAAUAUCGGCGAGAGACCGAUAGCGAACAAGUACCGUGAGGGAAAGAUGAAAAGAACUUUGAAAAGAGAGUUAAACAGUACGUGAAAUUGUCAAAAGGGAAGCGUUUGACACCAGUGUUGUUUUCUCGAAAAUCAAUUAAAAAAGGCUGGAUUUUGUGUUGUAUUGACUUUAUCAAGCUUUCUUCACUCUUUUCUUGUCUUUUUUAAUGCACUUUUCGUUUAACAAGUCAACAUCAGUUUCUUUUGUUGUAAAAGGGUCAUUGGAAGGUGGCUUUCUUUUCGGAGAAAGUGUUUAUAGCCUUUGGCCUCUGCAAUCGGAGAGAUUGAGGUCUGCAGCGUAGACUCCUUCGGGGUUAGAUACAUUUGUGCUAAGUUAUAGCCUUUUCAUAGACAACUUGUUGACUAUAUCAGUCAUGUAGGCUUACUCGCUUAUGCUAUUUUACCUACGCUUAGGAUGUUGAUGUGAUACUGCGAGCA